rnacentral:rRNA from 1 species
CAAAGAACUUUGAAGAGAGAGUUCAAUAGGACGUGAAACCGUACUGAGAAUAAACGUGCGAGUUAGAACGUUGGCGCAGAUUCAGCAAUACUAUGUAUUGUGCAUUUCGGCGUCGCGGCGACCGGGGAGUGGAGUGCUCUGACGUGCUGUGUGGCGGGCUGUUUCGACAGUGUCCUGCGCGGUGCUGAAGGUACUAAGUUCCUUAAAUGGCACUAUUUUCGUGGCGGCAGUCGCGCUGGUAGUCCCUCCAGGGGUCAGUCCAAUAGGACUGGGGUUUGGACGGAUUUCUACGUUCGGAGCCCACGAUGUUUGUGUCGGGUUGCCAGAGUUUGACCUUGCACGACCCGUCUUGAAACACGGACCAAGGAGUCUAAAUUGUGCGCGAGCCAUUGGAUUUUAUCUCCAUAGGCGAAACGAAUGUGAUGAGGUUGGAUCUUUAUGCGCACCUCAAACGUGUGCUUUGUUCGCAUUGCGCUCAGUCGGAGUGCACAGAUUAGUACCCGAAAGAUGGUGAACUAUGCUUGAGCAGGAUGAAGCUAGAGGAAACUCUGGUGGAAGUCCGAAGCGGUUCUGACGUGCAAAUCGAUCGUCAGACUUGAGUAUAGGGGCGAAAGACUAAUCGAACCAUC